rnacentral:rRNA from 1 species
GAGGAGUUCGGCGCCGAUAAUGAUCGGGAAUAAGAUUCUAACCGAAGCUGCGGGCUACUUAUGUAGCGGUAGAGGAGCGUUCCAGGCAGCAUUGAAGCGAAACGGGCAACGUUUCGUGGAGCGCCCGGAAGUGAUUAUGUGGGUUUGAGUAACGAUAAUGCUGGUGAAAAUCCAGCACGCCGAAAGUCUAAGGUUUCCUGGGGAAGGUAAAUCCGCCCAGGGUCAGCCGGGACCUAAGGUGAGGCCGAAAGGCGUAGCCGAUGGACGGCAGGUUAAUAUUCCUGCGCUACUGUGGAGAUCA